rnacentral:tRNA from 1 species
GGGCGUAUAGCUCAGCGGUAGAGCGCUGCCCUUACAAGGCAGAUGUCGCAGGUUCGAUCCCUGCUACGCCCAC